UUGUGGUCAUUUUGGCUGUUUAUUUCGAGGGUACGGUAGGAGGUCAUCGUUCACUCGAUAACUCUUUUUAAAAUGAAAUAAAAGCGUUUUAAGAUACAUGAUAUGAAUUGAUAUUAAUAUUCGUUAAGUGGGAUUGUCGGUGGACGUUCAUUGUUGAACAGUUGUGCUGGAAUUACGAAAAUAUAUCGAUAUCGUUGAGAGUUCAUUCAUUAGGGGCCUGUUCUCAAUUUUCCUUACAACGCCUCUAGCACUGGGCAAUUGCCACCAUCUUGAAAAGCAGUGCCGCGGAUGGCUAUCGCAUCGCCACUACGCAUGAGAACACGAUGGCUGCCCUGCGCUGCAUUGAUAGUUCGUAAUAAAUUCACAUAAAAACACACCAGAAGAUCUCCGAUUUUAUUUACAAAGAUCAUAUUUUGUUAUUUAUUGAUAAAACAAGCCAUUUUACCACAGCAGGUGACACAUUAGGCCUGAAUAAGACUUUAGAAUUUGAAGUGGUGGUGACGAUGCCGAUAUCCAAGAUGGCGGAAUUAUACCAGUGGUCAAAUCUCAUCUAUUUUGGGUAAUUGCAUCAUUAUUUCUUUUUGUGAUUGGUGAUUUGUAAAAUUGAGAAUGAUUGAAAAAUCAGUAUUUUUUCACCCAAAGGCAUGAGUGAACAUUUGAUAAGUUUAUUGUGAUUUAAUUGGUAAUUUGGUCGACAUUUUGACAAUUAUAUUUAGCAAUAUUUCGAUAAAUGCGGACCUGCUUCUUCCUCUUUUCGUAGUGACGGUGUUUCGAUAACUCAGUUAGACUUCGAGAUCUACAUUUUCGACAAAGGCCUGGUGUAAAUUACGUACUUAAUGAAGGUUUAAUGACACGAAUGAGUACAAGUACAUUACAUUUUUCGACGAAGGCCUUCUGUAAUUUCAUACGCUUCUUACGCAACAUUCAAUAGAUUUAUUUACUGUAUUAUCAUUUCGACCAAGGCGAAUUCGACACUUCAAUUACACAAGCACAAUCAAACUUAGUCAUUCCAGUCAGUUACUGAAGCACAGCGAAAACUGUCUGAAUUAGUGCUGCUGAUGGCAUGUAAUUACUCUACUACCACUACCAGUGACAGUCAAUGUCCAUAUAUUUUCAAGUGUGCGAAAUUAGUACUCGUCUACUUCUUAGUGUUAUUUGAAUGCAAUGUAUGUUAUAAAAAUAUUUUUUCAACACUAUAUCAACAUUCUCAUUCCUGUCAGUUUCUGAAAAUCAGCUAAAGCAAUCGCUACCAAUGCAGCUGAUAACAGCAAUUCUUUUUGUUCCCAAUGCCCAUCCAUGACAAUAUAUUUCACGCAUGUGACAAGCAUGUGACAAUCAUGUAAUCGUCCUGUUUUUUGUGUUCUUUUCAUGCAAUAAAUAAAUUCAGUAUUUUCAAAUCAUUGGUGCUACAAAACUAUUCUCAUUAUAGAUUAUUCAUAUUUUAUAAAAUGCUGUCAUGUCAAAUUUUGUGUCCUAUAAAUCAUUAUGAAGUCGGCAUUUUAUAUACAACUUUUGUACUCCUCCUAAAUAAACAUACAAAUCUUGUUUUAUGUAAACUUUGUAUAUGUGACCCGUCACAGCAAAACCAGGCGCAUGUCGCUCUGAGCUUGGCAGGUUGAGACGGACUGUUUGUUCAUUUAUCUAUUGUCUGCCUUUUGUAAAAUAUGAGCACAUCAAUUUCUUCCAUUAUCUCCUGGUGUCAUUUAGGCUCAUCUUCUGUGCGACAUGUACCUGGUUUUGCUGUGACGGGUCACAUAUUCUAUAGAUAUACAACACUCUAAUGUCACAAUGCCUCUCUCACUCGCUUUUAUAUAGCAAGAUGUAUGAAUAAACAUGACACACCAACUAUGUACAAAAUUGCUAACAAACUGCACCAUUUGUCAGUACACCACAUGAAAUACAGAGAUAUGUCUUAAUUCUAAUCUUUCAUUAGCGACACCAUUUCUUACCAGAGUGCCUCCUUCAUUCAUACAUCUUGUACUUUAACUCAAGAUACCCAUCUUUGAAUAUUUUUAGUAUACCAAGUACUACAAUGUCAAUGUAUUGAAGUCAUGUUCUUGUAGUGUUAUUGGCUUUCUAUUAUCUUGUCAAAAUACCACUUGGUUCUCGCAAAAUCUCAAUAAAAACAAAUGCUAUUGCAUGUAUUGCAUAUUCUAACAGCUAUCCACUGUAUCGAUUUAUCCAUCAUCUGUACUAUUUGUCACAAAAAUGUUAUAUUAUGUAAAUCAUAUUUCAUUACAUAAUGCACACUGCCAAUUACUGCUGAACCAUUCAUAUGUCAUUUAAAUAAAUAAUUUUCAACUUUUUAAAACCGUCUUAUAGUACUGUUCUUGUCACUUAGCUGAACCAAUUGCUCUAUAGCAUGAAAUUUCCAGAAAUGCCCCAGGGACUGAAAAGUGCUGUUUUAACAGAGAGGUGUCCUAAACUGAGAAGUCGAGUUGAAUGGAAACAACCAAUUUGGAACCAAAAACUACUGUCCUUAUUAAAGAG